UCUGAAUCACUAUAAGCCUUUCA
rnacentral:siRNA from 1 species